CAGGGUCUGCCUUAUUCAAGUCUGCCGCUUACCUGUCCCUCCUGGACCCUCCAACUCUCCUUCCAUAGCUGAUUUUUUUCUCCGCAGAGUGGCUACACAGUCAGGACUCUCUGGUAACCUGAUCUACCUUCCCUUCCCAUGUUACAGAUGAGGAAAUAGAGACCUGGACCCGGAAAAACACCAGCCCCACCUCUAGAGAUCUGUGGUUGACAAGGCUGAAGACUGCACUCACCUGCCAGAAGAGUUGCCCUUCUACAUGGUGGCAAUAGCAGCAUCUCCUGGCUUCCAACCCCAGCCUCACACAACUUCCUUAAUUCUGCAGCUGCAUCUGGAAUUCUACCAUUUGGGUCCUGGUCUUUAUAGAACUUAGGGCUCAUAACAUUUGUUCCCUAGGAUACAGGCAUCAGAACUGGGGCUCUGCGAUCAUCAUCUUGAAAGUACAAGGUCAUCCCCCUGUGCACAAAAAAGGCUACAUAGGGGUGAGGAAGACCCUUGCGGUUCGUUCUGCCUGGCUCUCCCGGGCUGCCCCUCCUCUGCCCCAUCACAGCCAAGCUCAUUUGGUCUUGGCUGCCCUGGCUCUGCCCUCGGGGUUAUGGAACUGUCAGCUUGAUUUCCACAACCUUCCAUCAGCUGAGCGGGUGGCCAUCUCUCAAUCCUGAUCAGACUGGAUACCAUCAGCUUUGUAACAUCCGUUCCCUUGGGCCCCAGCAAGAAGCCACGAAGUGGGGAGAAGGUCUAAGGAUGCCUGGGCUCUUCGGCCACAGCUUCCUCGGCAACUUGGAAACGGCUCCAGAAACAAGCAGGAGCUUGUUUCAACUCCCGGAGGAAGACAGCCCAAUUCAGUACUGCCUUGUGGACGGGCGAGUUGGAGAAGACAGUGAGGACUUGCACUCAGAGAGCUCUGUGGAAACCUCGGAAGGAGCUCGGGGACUGGCCUAACUUCCCACUCUGAGGAUGGCUGACAGGCUCAAGAAAGGAAACUGACUUCUCCAAAUCCCCACAAUGUCAGUCCUAAGAAUCAACUGCUGUGUUUUACUGAUCACUAUGCAAGUAGCUGCUCAUGAAAUGACUGAAGGAAUGAGUGGUAAGCUAGUGGUUAGCUUACCUUCUCUCCCUAGUCAAGAGGGAAGACUACAGGUACUCCACCCACAGGAGGGGGUUGGAAUCAAGAUGGGAACGGCAGCCUGGUUCUCUAAAGACAAGGCUAGCCCAAUCCAGAACCUGGCUACAGGGAGCCAAGCUAUGGAAAGGGGCCCUGGGGCAGCCCUGCAGGCAGCAGAGGCGAUGGAAAAAAAGCCUAGUGCCUGUCAUGCACACUUGUGCAUGAGGAUGGGGGGGCGGGGGCAACGACACGCACAUGCGUCCUGAGGGAUGUUCCUUGCUUAUUGCUGUAGAUUUGUAUUCCUGCCGACUUUUAUUUCAGGCCUUGUUUAUUUCUCCUUAAAACGCGGCUGCUAUGCCAAGAGUCGUACCCGAAUUAGCUGCGAGUGUGUAAUUUUACAGCUAUUACCCGGGUGUUUCUGUGACUUGGAUAAUAAUGAGAGAAAUAUAAACAAACAACGGCUCAGUGGUUUAGCAGGGAGGCCUCGGAGCUGCGCGUGCAGGCUUUCCAAGGGGUGGAGUUCCAUCCCUCCCCUGUCCUCAUUUCUACCUACCCUUCCCAGUCACAAGUCACAUCAGACCCAGGAACAGGGGUGGGGAGGUGUAGGUCACUGAGCCGUGGCCCUAAGAUGUUUGCGCCCCCAGAGGGACAGUCUCCCACCCACAGCCGUCCUCCUCAUCCUCCCCUCUACAAAAGCAAACAAAAGGCUGGCCUAAUUAUGGGAUAUUUCCCUUCUCUAGCGGCUAAUGGCAGCAGAGCAUGUGUGACAUUUUGCUCUCUUUCCUUUAUUAUUCUUGCUUUUUAUCUACUGCUGCCAAAGGCUCCAGGCUGAGGCUGGCACACAUGCCCACCCCUCCUCCUUGGGCUCUGGCCCUUCCACUCCUCCAUGCAGCCCCUCCCCCAUCGCUCCAACAGAGAGAGCUUGGAUGAUCCUUUAGGUCACUCUGAAGAAAAUGGGAGCAGCAGUGUCUGGGCUAACCUUGGACUCCUGAGAACAGGGACCUGCGUGUUGCAUCACCCCACCGAGGUCUCACAGAACUCUUCUGUAAGUCCGUGUAUCUCCUGUGUGUCAGUUUCUCUAAAUCUGUGCCAUGAGAGAUUUGAUUCUCCCAAAAUUCUCCCUGCCCUAACACCCAGGGCUGAGGACCACGAGUGACACAGAGCCAUUAAAAGUCCUUUUGGGGGUGUCUCUGUGGGAAUGAGAUGCUCAGGGUACAGGUGUCAGCUGUGCCUCAGUUUCCACAAACACUGCCACCAGAAACAUCAAGCUUGUUAGCACUUAAAAAAAAAAAAAAAAAAAAA